AACGAACGCUGGCGGCAGGCUUAACACAUGCAAGUCGAACGGGUGUCGCAAGACAUCAGUGGCAGACGGGUGAGUAACACGUGGGAACCUUCCUAGGGGUACGGAACAACUCAGGGAAACUUGAGCUAAUACCGUAUACGUCCGUAAGGAGAAAGAUUCAUCGCCCCUAGACGGGCCCGCGUCGGAUUAGGUAGUUGGUGGGGUAACGGCCUACCAAGCCUACGAUCCGUAGCUGAUCUGAGAGGANGAUCAGCCACACUGGGACUGAGACACGGCCCAGACUCCUACGGGAGGCAGCAGUGGGGAAUCUUGGACAAUGGGCGCAAGCCUGAUCCAGCCAUGCCGCGUGAGUGAAGAAGGCCUUAGGGUUGUAAAGCUCUUUUACCAGGGACGAUAAUGACGGUACCUGGAGAA
rnacentral:rRNA from 1 species